rnacentral:rRNA from 1 species
AUUCCAGCUCCAGUAGCGUAUAUUAAAGUUGUUGCAGUUAAAAAGCUCGUAGUUGGAUUUCUGGCUUUAUAGAACUGACCCGCCACGUUAGUGUGUGAGUGUCGGCUUCUAUAUGCCAUCCUUCCACAGAACGUUUCUACUCUUGAUUGAGCCGGAUUCGCAAUGUGGAACUUUUACUUUGAAAAAAUUAGAGUGUUCAAAGCAGGCUUACGCUAUGAAUACAUUAGCAUGGAAUAAUAAUCUAGGACUUUGGUUCUAUUUUGUUGGUUUCUAGAACUGGAGUAAUGAUUGAUAGGGAUAGUUGGGGGUGCUAGUAUUCAGCGGCCAGAGGUGAAAUUCUUGGAUUCGCUGAAGACUAACUUAUGCGAAAGCAUUCACCAAGGAUGUCUUCAUCG